rnacentral:rRNA from 1 species
AGACCCGAAACCCGGUGAUCUAGCCAUGGGCAGGUUGAAGGUUGGGUAACACUAACUGGAGGACCGAACCGACUAAUGUUGAAAAAUUAGCGGAUGACCUGUGGCUGGGGGUGAAAGGCCAAUCAAACCGGGAGAUAGCUGGUUCUCCCCGAAAGCUAUUUAGGUAGCGCCUCGUGAAUUCAUCUCCGGGGGUAGAGCACUGUUUCGGCUAGGGGGCCAUCCCGGCUUACCAACCCGAUGCAAACUGCGAAUACCGGAGAAUGUUAUCACGGGAGACACACGGCGGGUGCUAACGUCCGUCGUGAAGAGGGAAACAACCCAGACCGCCAGCUAAGGUCCCAAAGUCAUGGUUAAGUGGGAAACGAUGUGGGAAGGCCCAGACAGCCAGGAUGUUGGCUUAGAAGCAGCCAUCAUUUAAAGAAAGCGUAAUAGCUCACUGGUCGAGUCGGCCUGCGCGGAAGAUGUAACGGGGCUAAACCAUGCACCGAAGCUGCGGCAGCGACACUAUGUGUUGUUGGGUAGGGGAGCGUUCUGUAAGCCUGUGAAGGUGUGUCGUGAGGCAU